GACGAACCGUGCAAACGUUGUUCGGAAUCACUGGGCUUAAAGGGCGCGUAGGCGGGUUCCCAAGUCGGUGGUGAAAUCUUUCGGCCCAACCGGAAAAGUGCCGCCGAUACUGGGAGUCUCGAGGGAGGUAGGGGUCGAGGGAACUUCCGGUGGAGCGGUGAAAUGCGUAGAUAUCGGAAGGAACGCCGGUGGCGAAAGCGCUCGACUGGACCUCUUCUGACGCUGAGGCGCGAAAGCCAGGGGAGCAAACGGG
rnacentral:rRNA from 1 species